rnacentral:rRNA from 1 species
UGAAUACGAGAUGCUACGGCGUCGAAGCAGUGUAUGUCAGACUUCCAAGAAAAGCUCGCAAUGUCAUAAAUAAAGAAUGCCUGUACCAUAACCGACACAGGUGGGUAGGUAGAGUAUACUAAGGGGCGCGAGAUAACUCUCUCUAAGGAACUCGGCAAAAUAACUCCGUAACUUCGGGAGAAGGAGUGCCUUCUUUAAGGAGGUUGCAAUAACAAGUUCCAAGCAACUGUUUAUCAAAAACACAGGUCUCCGCUAAGUCGUAAGACGAUGUAUGGGGGCUGACGCCUGCCCAGUGCCAGAAGGUUAAAGAAGUUGGUUAGCUUUUGCGAAGCUGAUGACUGAAGCCCUGGUGAACGGCGGCCGUAACGAUAACGGUCCUUAGGUAGCGAAAUUCCUUGUCGGGUAAGUUCCGACCCGCACGAAAUGCGUAAUGAUUUGGAUACUGUCUCGGAGAGGGACUCGGUGAAAUAGUCUUGUCUGUGAAGAUGCGGACUACCUGCACCAGGACAGAAAGACCCUAUGAAGCUUUACUGUAACUUGAAAUUGAAAUUGGACUUUAUUUGCGCAGUAUAGGUGGAAGGCGUUGAAAGUAAUCUUGCGGGAUUAGUGGAGCCAUCAGUGAGAUACCACUCCUAUAAUGUUAGAUUUCUAACUUUGGAUCAUGAUCUGGUCAAAGAACAGUUUCAGGCGGGCAGUUUGACUGGGGCGGUCGCCUCCCAAAUGGUAACGGAGGCGUACAAAGGUUUCCUCUGAACGGGUAGAAAUCGUAUCUAGAGUGUAAAGGCAUAAGGAAGCUUGACUGUGAGACCUACAAGUCGAGCAGGGACGAAAGUCGGUCUUAGUGAUCUGACGGUGCUGAGUGGAAAAGCCGUCACUCAACGGAUAAAAGUUACUCUAGGAUAACAGGCUGAUCUCCCCCAAGAGUUCACAUCGACGGGGAGGUUUGGCACCUCGAUGUCGGCUCAUCGCAUCCUGGGGCGGUAGUACGUCCCAAGGGUUGGGCUGUUCGCCCAUGAAAGCGGUACGCGAGCUGGGUUCAGAACGUCGUGAGACAGUUCGGUCCAUAUCCGGUGUAGGCGUUAGAAUAUUGAGAGGAGCCUUCUUUAGUACGAGAGGACCGAGAAGGACAUACCUCUGGUGUACCAGUUAUCGUGCCAACGGUAAACGCUGGGUAGCUAUGUAUGGAGAGGAUAACCGCUGAAAGCAUCUAAGUGGGAAGCCCACCUCAAGAUGAGUAUUCUCAUC